UCACAGUAACAAGGUAGCUUGGUGACUCCAAUGGUCACGGUAACAAGGUAGCUUGGUGACUCCAAUGGUCACAGUAACAAGGUAGCUUGGUGACUCCAAUGGUCACGGUAACAAGGUAGCUUGGUGACUCCAAUGGUCACAGAAACAAGGUAGCUUGGUGACUCCAAUGGUCACAGAAACAAGGUAGCUUGGUGACUCCAAUGGUCACAGUAACAAGGGAGCUUGGUGCCUUCAAUGGUCACAGUAACAAGGUAGCUUGGUGCCUACAAUGCUCACAGUAACAAGGUAGCUUGGUGACUCCAAUGGUCACAGUAACAAGGUGGCUUGGUGACUCCAAUGGUCACAGUAACAAGGUAGCUUGGUGCCUCCAAUGGUCACAGUAGCAAGGUAGCUUGGUGCCUCCAAUGGUCACAGUAAUAAGGUCGCUUGGUGCCUCCAAUGGUCACAGUAACAAGGUAGCUUGGGGACUCCAAUGGUCACAGUAACAAGGUAGCUUGGUGACACCAAUGGUCACAGUAACAAGGUGGCUUGGUGACUCCAAUGGUCACAGUAACAAGGUAGCUUGGUGACUCCGAUGGUCACAGUAACAAGGUAGCUUUGUGCCUCCAAUGGUCACAGUAACAAGGUAGCUUGGGGACUCCAAUGGUCACAGUAACAAGGUAGCUUGGUGACACCAAUGGUCACAGUAACAAGGUAGCUUGGUGACACCAAUGGUCACAGUAACAAGGUAGCUUGGUGACACCAAUGGUCACAGUAACAAGGUGGCUUGGUGAC